GAUGAACGCUGGCGGCGUGCCUAAUACAUGCAAGUCGAGCGAAUGGAUUAAGAGCUUGCUCUUAUGAAGUUAGCGGCGGACGGGUGAGUAACACGUGGGUAACCUGCCCAUAAGACUGGGAUAACUCCGGGAAACCGGGGCUAAUACCGGAUAAUAUUUUGAACUGCAUGGUUCAAAAUUGAAAGGCGGCUUCGGCUGUCACUUAUGGAUGGACCCGCGUCGCAUUAGCUAGUUGGUGAGGUAACGGCUCACAAAGGCAACGAUGCGUAGCCGGCCAGGGAGGGUGAUGGGCCACACUGGGACUGAGACACGGCCCAGACUCCUACGGGAGGAAGCAGUAGGGAAUCUUCCGCAAUGGACGAAAGUCUGACGGAGCAACGCCGCGUGAGUGAUGAAGGCUUUCGGGUCGUAAAACUCUGUUGUUAGGGAAGAACAAGUGCUAGUUGAAUAAGCUGGCACCUUGACGGUACCUAACCAGAAAGCCACGGCUAACUACGUGCCAGCCGCCGCAGUAA
rnacentral:rRNA from 1 species